CACGUAGGGGGCAAGCGUUGUCCGGAUUUAUUGGGCGUAAAGCGCGUGUAGGCGGCCAGAUAGGUCUGCUGUGAAAACUCGAGGCUCAACCUCGAGACGUCGGCGGAAACCAUCUGGCUAGAGUCCGGAAGAGGAGAGUGGAAUCCCUGGUGUAGCGGUGAAAUGCGCAGAUAUCAGGAAGAACACCCGUGGCGAAGGCGGCUCUCUGGGACGGUACUGACGCUGAGACGCGAAAGCGUGGGGAGCGAACAGG
rnacentral:rRNA from 1 species